GUGAGAUUUCAGUUCAGUUUGUGAAAGAACAAUGGAGAGCAUGUGUGUUGUUGAGCCUGUGUAUAACUGUGUGCAUCUGCCUUUUAUUAUGCAAUGAGCCUAAAAAAUCUCAGCGAGAUUCUCAGAGAUCCAGUGCGUUCAGAACUAGUUGUGAAAAGGAAGAGAGGGUUUUUUGGCAAGGCUGAAGAUGGGCCCCGUGGGGCUGUUUUGAAUCUGAUGAUUUAGCUAUAAAGUCUGAGGAGGAAGAAACAUGGCUGAAACCCUCACUGGUUGACUGGAAAAUACAAAUGAGCAGGCAACAAAUGAAGAGUACCAUGAAGCACAGGGCUGAUUAUCAGCUGUUUCAAGAGAAAACAUCAAUUCGUGCUUCUGUGGCUAGGAGUGCCUUUGGGAGGAGGUGGAUGUCCCAUGGACCCCGGGGGCUGAUGAUUUGCACGUGUGUCUGUUAUAGGGGUGCACUGUGACAUACACACUAACAGCGACUGGAUUCUUCUCUCCUGGAGGGACAGUCAGUUGGUUUGGUAAAUUCUCCAAGGAAAUUUUCAGAGUGAAGCAAUAGGAAUGGUCAUUCAUUUGUAAAAACAAACACAGGCAGCUCUGCGUCAGCAGCCCCCAUGGAGAGCAACUUGCUUAAUAUUUUAAAUAGAUUUUAAAGGAUGAUUUGGGGUCUUAAACUUGACAAUGGGGAGAAAAAAACUAAACCAUGUUAAGAAGGAACAUAUGUGAGACAAAUAUUGAGCAGCUGAAAAUAAUGGAUAAUUUUGACACAUUUUAGUAUGUUUGACACAAUUUCAAUUUCAAUUAAAUGAGACACCAUUUAAUGUUUUUAUAGAAAAAAGAACAUGCUGUCAAAACUUUAAAAAAAACCUCACCUUGCAAAAAGUUAUGUUGAGGCAGACAAAAAGCUCUGAGUGACAUUUGCCUGAUGGUAAUGGAGCUUUGAAAACAACAAAAGUAUGAGAGAAUCUUACUUUGUUGAUCAAUCUUAAAGAGGAAGAUUUUCAUGAAACAUAAGAUUCUCAAAAUAUUCUUAACAAUAAUUACAGUAUCAUAGGAAUGGUGAUUAAGUGGAGAUAAACACUGAAUAAAAC
ensembl:lncRNA